rnacentral:lncRNA from 1 species
UCUUUGAUUUUUUUCGAGAGGUAUUUAUGGGGUGGUUGCAACGGAUUUGAGGGAAACGUGCGUAUGAUUGUGGGAUUGAGGUGGUUGUAACAGGAUUUGAGGAAAACGUGCGUAUGGGUGCGGAGGUUAUGGGAUCGUGGAUGGUUGAGGAUUGUGGGAUGAUGGGAUUGUAGGUAUAGGUUGUUACGAUAGUAUCGUGGGAUUGUGGGAGAGAUUUUGGAUGGUUAUGAUGGGAUUGUGGGAAUAUUGUGAAUUGGUCCUUUCCCUUUGCUCAUAUUACACCUUAGUCAAUAUAAUAAAAUAUUAUAUGAUUAAAGCGGAGCAUUUUGUAAAUACGUGAAAGGGAAAGGGCUAAUAUGCUAUUUUUAAUACCCGUUCGUAUCUACGAGAACGUCCCACUAUUCGUAAUUUAUGCUCCCGGUGCAUGAGAUAUUUUCAAAAUUUAAAUUUUAUCCAUGCACCUGGUGCAUGGAUAAUCUCAUAAACCAUCUCUAUUUUUUAUUUCUUUCUCUCCCUUUUUUUUUCUUUUUCCUCUUUUAUUCCUCUCUCUUUUUUUUUUAUGCUUCAACAAGGAUAAAUGUGCAUUUCCAUUUCCUUAUGCUUUCCUAGAUGAUAUCAUAGUGUGAGUUGAAUGCUUGAUACAGUGGAUAGAUAAGGAUUGGGUCGAGACAUUGAAUCCUAUAGUGCUGAGAUAAAAGAUGGACUCGAUUGUUGAUAAGACAUAACGAGUGGCAAGUAAAUAACAAUGACAACAAAACGAGUGGCAUAUAACUUAGUGUAAAAAUGACACUUGACAUGUGACUUAGAGAUAGGUGGAUUCCCUAGUGAUGAGUCAUUGAAUAAGAACUUAGUGUAGUUAAACACUUCCAUAUGGACAUUGGGAUAGGUGGAUUCCCGAGUGACAGUUAGCCCUAGUUGAUAGGGUAUCCUCGAGUUAAGAGGAUUGGAUCAUACUCACUGUCUGUUCAGAACUUGUGGUGGUCGCUCCACACAAGCGUGCGCUUCGGAGUUUUGUCACACGAGGGAUAGCCUUAUGGGGUCCCUAGGAUAGCCUUAUGGGGUCCCGCAGACGGUCUCGGGUUUGUUGAGCGAGUUGAGCCUCCUUACCUUACGAGAUGCAUGUGAGUCGUGGGCGAACCUCAGGGUUGGCCAAGGAUUGGAUAAGUCAAGAAAAUUGAUGAACAAGUAGACAAGUAAAUAACAUUACUUCUUGGACAUAGUGGCAUGUUAGUUGAUUACCUAUCACGUUGAGGAUGCAUACAUUGUAUAUGAUCCGGGCACAGUAGCAUAGCUUUCUUACUAUGUUGUUACUGCUUUUACAUAUCUAUCUAUCUAUCUAUCUAAUUGUGCCCAUUUGGACCUAGUGGGGAGAUCGGCGGAGUCAGCGGCCGAACCCACUCGGAACUAUGGACAUUAGUUCUCACCCCACUUUGCUGCAGGGCCAAGUACGAGUGCUCCGGGCAAGGAUCGCGGUAAGGACUUAGCGCCCUAGCAUUAGUAUCCCUCCAGUUGCAUUAGAGGAACCUACUUAUAUGAGAGUAGAUGAUGUAUAGAUUGUGAGAUGCAUUUUGGAGAGAAAUGAAUAAACUUCUACCUAUAUUUUUGGAUGAAACAAAGAUGUAAAUUGUAUAAAUGUACAAAUCAUGAUGUAAUAGAUAGAACUCUCUCUCUUUUCGCACUUGUAUGGAUACUUGUGUUACUUGCUCUUAUUGUGAAGCACUAGUGGUGCUUCUUUUGUCGUUGUGUAACACACUGGACCUGUGCAAAUUGCGAGAUUCGAGUGAUUGGAUGUGUUUCAAGCUUUUUCAUGCCUUGUGGAGGGUCGUAGAAGGCGUUCCGACCUAAAAAGUUCGAAUCCCGGAAUUCCAGCUUUGUCCUGAGAGUUUUUACUCUCGGGGACCGGUCCCUGGUGGGAGAGACCGGUCCCCUUGGAACAGUGUAGCGGCUGACUCCGAGGCAACCGGUCCCUGGCGGGUGAGACCGGUCCCCGGUCGCGUUUUCGCGGGGAGAGACCGGUCCCAUGCGGGGAGAGACCGGUUCCCGAAUGUUGGAUUUUUCGGGGCUGGAGGAGAGACCGGUCCCAGGUCGGGGAAACCGGUCUCUCAGUCCGAAAUCUGCCCAGUCCGGGCUUUGCACUGGUUGCAAAGUUGAGGGGCUUUUCUGGAUUUUGUUACACUAGAGGGCCUAUAUGGCCAUUUCACUUUCUCUUCUCCCUCAUUUCACUCUCCCCUUUGUUUUUAGAGAGAGAAGAAGAAGAAGGGAGAAGAAGGAAUGAGAGGGAGAGCUUGCUUGAGGACUUGGAGCUUCACCUUCACCCUCUCUUUUUCCUUUUGGUGGGUUGGAGCUUGCUUUUGGAGCCUUGUGGUGGACCAAUCUUCAACCCUAGAGGACUUAGAGCUUGCAUUGAAGCUUCCAAGAGGUUGGUAACAAGUUUCUUUCAUUAGAUUCUUGUUUUGAUGGUUUCUUUGAGAUGAAACCCUAAAUUGAGGUUUUAGGGUUGAUUUUGGGCAUUUUGGAUUUAGGGCUUUUGGAGCUCAAUCUCUUGGAUUAGAACCUUUCUCUAGGUUCCUUUGGAAGGGUUCUAGCUUUCUUUUGAAGCUUGAGAAGAGAUUUUACUCUAUAGGUGAGCUUUUGGCCCUUUUGCUUGGUAGGUUAAAGUUUGAGCUAGUAGUUGUUGUUUACUUCUUGUAGCUCACUUUUUGAUGUUCCUAGGGUGCUAGGAGUUUAGUGGACAUCUUCGUUGGAGCAAACGAAGAGUUGCGCGAAGUUCGGUGGGUUUGACCUAGCCUAGCAUAUGAAAAAUUCUCAUAUCCUAUAUUUUAUGCUUCGUAAAGUAGAAAUUCAUGUAUUUCCGUGAUAAAUAUAAUUAUUGUGAAUUUUAGGAUGCUUAACAUGCCUAUGUUAUGUGUGAUGAAAUUUUGGACCUCUAUGUAGUAGAAAACUAGCAUGUGGAAUUUGUACAUGAUUGGCAUCCUAUUGAGACUUGAAAUCAUAAUUCCUACUGUGAAAAUUAGCAUUACUUUCAUGUAUUUAAAGCUAUUCCUACAUGAGACUUAAAAGAUCUUAGUAUGCCAUAAAGAGGCUCGGGGACUUGUACUUCUUGAGAAUAAUUGGGCUAAUGUCAUUAAGCGGCAUUAAGCUCGGGUCAUGUAUGAACCUAGUGUUGAGGUCAUCAGUGGAAUAUUGAAUAGGUGGGAAGAUUAAUCUAUAGCAAUGCUUAAGUAUCAUAAAUAGGCACUAAGCAUAGUGAGAGUUGGAACUUCACAUUGUGACAUUGAACUAGAUCUUCGAGAUGCUAGUGGCUUUUACCAUGUUAGAGACAUGAUGAUUUGGACUUUUGAGACGUUGACUACGCUUGUAUGCCAUUUGUGCUCAUUCGCAUAUACUUAUGAGGGUCGCUCCCUACAAGCCGGCACUCCGGAGUUGGCCUACGCGACUUAUGCUCGCUCGUGCGGUAUCGAGAAACCUACGGGGUCGGGAGGGAUAGACUCAUUCUUAGAGUGGGAAUGCUGGAGCUACCACCGACACUUAGGCGGCACAAGCUGGACUACAUUUAUGUAGGUCCUAGAACAUGAUUAAAUAAUGACAUUUAAUCAUGAGAUAACAAUCACUACUAGAUAGGAUUAGUAGUUGGAUUACUUUGACAUGCUUAUAGCAUAGUGUUGAGACAUGUUGUAUACUUAAUAAUUUGCAUGUUGCAUCUUAGUAUACUUGGUUGCCAUGAUAGAGCAUAAUCAUCAAAUAUUGAUAGAACGGAUCAUGUUAUCUACUUGCUUGCCACGUUGGGACUGGUGGCUCACACUAGGUGCUCAGGAGCCGAUAGUGGUAUAUAGCUCGGUAGAGCGUGUCGUGCGGUUAAUAAUAUACCGAGAGUACGAUUGUGACCCAACCCGGGAAUCUGUAAUGGAUUUGGAUCUUAGUUGCUCCUGAUUGGAGUGUGUGCGAAUUCCUAAGUGAGAAUUUCGCCCGAUCAUGAUUGGGUCUGCAUUUGCGAGCAAGAGACGCUGCGUAUUGAGACAGGUUUAGGCGGUAGGCCCACGUAGGAUUGGUGGCCUUUGGUCCACCUGUGGAGACCAAAGAGGGCGAUUUGGCUGAUAGCCUUAUUGAGGAGUUUGACUCGAGUUCACGAACGAAACGCUCGCGUGAACUCGUCGCGAAAGUAGUUUGAUGUUAAUCGUAGCUUGUGGUAUCAGAUAAUGAAAUACUCCUUGUGAGACAUCGAACUGGUGGAAAGCCACGUGAUGUUGGAGACUAUGCUCGUAAGCGAACUAAGACUUGAAAUGUGCCGAAUUGGGCCAUCUCACGUUAAGGUUAAGGGUCAGUGCAAAAUUAAAGCACUCGCGACAGAGCGAUGUAUCGGUGAUAUUGCUUUUAAGCAAUGUCGGUGAUCGAAUUGGGAGGUAUUCCCUAAAGGGAAGGCCAGUGCAAAGAAGAGUUCUUUGCGUACCGAAGAGCGAGUGGUGUUUGGAGCGCGUAGAGUCGUUGAGUACUGACUUGCGCUGCCACUAUGACUUGCAAGACCGUGAUGCACUUCUGCAUCACACUUUGCAAAUGAGUUUAAUAUUAAAUCCAUGUCCUUUAGAAUGAGCCGCUUCUGAAACCACGAUAGUGUGAAGUCGCUCUGGAGUGGGAGAAUGAGUAUGUACCCUCAAUUGCUCGCGGAGCUGAAUUGAGGCGUGGUUUGAAUUUCGCGGACGAAAUUCUUUUAAGGGGUGGAGAAUGUAACAUACCAGAUUUUGGUAUAAAAAUAAAAAUAAAUAAAAAUAGUGUGAGAUACUAUUUUUAUUGGAUUUAGAGGAGUUAAAUAUAAGUCAGAAGUGACUUGUGCUGAAAUCGGAAUGAAAAUAGAAGAUUUAUAAUUUUCUGUUGGAAACGGGACAGAUAAAUUAGCAGAUAAUGCACAGUGUCAGAAAAUUAUGAAAACUGGAGGGUAAGUCAGAAUUAUUUUUAUGAGACUAGAUUUAAAGUUUAAUAUCAUUCUGACAUCCGGAAGGUGGGAAAUAAAAUCCGACAACUAUCUGCUAAAGAUUACAGUUCAGUGCAGUUUUCAGUGACCAAACGGGGUCGAAACUGAAAACUUAAGAUAUAUUCUUACUCAGUACGUUAAACCGAGCCUGCCUGUCAAAUUUGAGCCCAAACGGACAUUCAGAAGGGCUCCGACUGUUCCAAACUACUAAACUGCCUGGAGUGAAUAGUAUUUUGGGGUGUUAAUUAUAUAAGAAGACUUGUCUUCUUCUUCUCCUUCAGCCGACUACCCCACACCACCAUCACCCGCACGCAUAGAGAGGGGAGAGAGAAACCCUCCUUUCUCUCUCUAGAUUCCUCUCUCAUCUCUCUAUAUUUAUCGCUCAAAUUCGCGGCGUUGGUGGAGAAGAUGCUCGCGAACGCAUUGGGAGCGACGGAUCGAGCUUUCGUGCGCCCGUUGUCGCGGCGUGUUUUCAUCGCGGCGUUCACAAUGUGGUAAGCUUUUGGGAUUUGGCUUAAUCCUUCACAUUAAGUGUUCUAAUAGCCUCUAAUGAGAUUUAUUAGCAUGUUGCUACAUUUAAUUUGAGUUAUUUGGAGGUUAAUUCAUGUUAGGCUUGGAAAAUAGAGUUUUAUAAAAUGUAGGGGUUUGAUCUAAUUUGACCCUUUGUAAACCUAAUUGCUAGGUAAACGAACGCGUUUGCGAAGUCGGUUCGGCGAUUCGUCGAGCCGUUGCGAAGUUAUUAAAGAAACGGACGUUAGGCUUCGUAUCCGCCUGCAGGGCCGAGGCGAUAUCGUAAACUCAUGAAAAUGGAUUUGAAGCACCGUGGCACAUAAUCGAAGACCUUUAAUUUUUUGGAUUGUGGAUUGGAGGCCGUUCGGGUGGUCGCGCGAGGGAUCGGGCCAAACCGGGUGCUGGGUGCUGCGGGAGGCCGAUUGCAAGUACGACAAGCAAUCGGAAUGCGAAAUGACGUGGGUUGUGCUUACCGAAGCGACUAGGUCGCCUUCAUGCCAAAGUAUAGUGUGUUUCACUAUUGAUGCAUGGUGGUAGUAAAAAUGCUAAGUAAGAAUGCAUGAUAAAGAUGCUAAGAAAUGUAUGCAUGUGAUAGAUGUUAAUUGUAAAUGCGUAGAAAGUAUGCUAAGUGAAUAUAAGGGCUAAAAGAAUGCAUAUUGACAUAAUAUAAGAAUGCUAAGUAAAUGCAUGUGAAGUAUGCUAAUGAAUGCAAGAGCUAAAUGCUAAAUGAGUAUGUAAGACAUAUGUUAGAUAAAUGCAUGAGUUAAAUGCCAAGUAAUAUGAGCUAGAUGCAUAUUUUAGAAAUGGAUGCAUGAUUGAAAUGCUAAUAAAGAAUGCAUGAGAUAUGUGUUAAGUAAGAAUGCAUGAAUUGUAAGCUAAAGUGUAAAUCGAUGAUCAUUAGAGAAGAACAUAAGUAUGUCCAUGAGAUGCUAAAGAAUAUAUGCAUGAUUCAUAUUAUGAGAAUAUAUUAGAAUGACAUGAAGGUUGAACUUGAGUCAAUGAACUCUAAGUAAAGUAAGGAACUCAAUAAAUGUGGCAUGUAAAGAAUCCUAAGUAUAAAGAACUAGAAUGAUGAGUGGCAUGUCAAGUACAAUUCCUAGGUGUGGACAACUAGGAAAACAAGAAUUGAGUGGCAUUGAACCCAGUGUCAUUGAACAUAGGUUAUUCACGAGUGGCAUGUCAAGUAUAAUUCCUAGGUGUGGACAACUAGGAAAACAAGAACAUGAGUGGCAUUGAACCUAGAGUCAAAUAAACCUAGGUUGUGAACAUAGUGACAUGGAAUCUAGAGUCAAAUGAACCUAGGUGGUAAAGAAUAUUGGACCUAGUGUUAAUGAACCUAGGCUAAAAAGAUAAUGACGUUGAACCUAAUGUAUAAACUUAGGUUGAGUAAGGGCUUGGACCUAGAUAGGUCGAUACUAUAGAGUGAGACCAACCCUUGAGAGAUGUAAAGUGGAUUCCAGAAUCCCUGCUGCUAGUGCAGCGGUUGCUAGUACAGCAUACAAGCUCGAUAGUUCUUGGCCGCAGGUGCAUGUGGCAUAUUCCUCUCCCACCGGAAGAACUUCGAGGCUUGUUAUUGAGCAAGAAUCAUGAGCGCUAGGGUGCAUGUGGCAUGUUCCUCUCACUAUCGGGGAUCUUGGCUGCGGGUGUCUGCGGCAUGUUCCUCUCCCACCGGGGGAUCCCUCACCACGGGUGUACGCAGCUCUGGGCGACCCGUUGGGCGAUGUGGUUUGUGGAUUGAGGGCUGAGGUGCAUGUGAUAGUUCCUUCACCUCGAGCCUGACAGAGCGCGGAUUAUCCGUAUAUAAUUGACUCAAGACCGAGUCGAGUGGCAUAGUUGGCUAAGGUAAAGUAAUCUUAGGUAAGAGUGGCAAUGUGUAUAAUAUGGCUAAGGUGUGAGUACCCUUAGAAUAAAGAAUAAAGAAUAAAGAAUGGCUAAUGCUAAAGAUUGGCAAGUAAUAAAGAAUAGCAAAUGCUAAAGAAUAGCUAGUAAAGUAAAGAAUGGCUAAGAGUAAAGAAUGGAUAAGAAUAAAGUGUAGAAGCAAUUAAUCUACUUAUAUGAGUUGCAUGAUUUACAUAUUGCAUGUUGUGAGGCAAAAGUAUGGUAAUGUUAGUUGCAUGAUUUAGAUUUUAUGUCUAUCUAUUGGACUAACAUGUUGUUUGCCUCCUUUGGACCUGAUGGUCGAGCUCUUCCCUUUAGUGGCCGUACCACUGGGAACCAUGGAGUUGGUUCUCACCCCACGUUGUUUUGGGGUGUUACAGGUUCACACAUGAGCGGUGCGGCGGCGCGAGGCGAGGGCGUAGCAUCAUAGUUAGCGCCCUACCACCGAGACCAGAGAUAGUGGUACCCCAAGUCGGCUACUUAGGGAUGUAAAGAAUGAAAAGAAUCAAGUUGUAAUAAUCAUGUUAAAUCGGAUUAUAUUUAGAAGUUAAGUGAAAGCUAAUGUAAGAAUCAAAUGAGAAUUGUGAUGUAAAAAUGUAUGAAUGUGAAUGCAUGUAAUAACAUAGGAUGUGUUAUAUUGUUUGAUACCUUCCAUUAUGCAAUCUUGAUUGAAAUAUGUUCCUGGUUGGAACUUCGCACAUUGUAUUGAUUGCUAUGCCUUGAACGUACAGGGGAGAUUCUGUCCGUAGUACAGGAAAAACCCUGUCCGUUCGGCAGUCUGUUGACGUGCCCGAAUCCGACCAAAGAGGCGGGCUCGGGGCGUGACAGGUUACCACCUUGCUUUCACAAUCGAAGGUUACAUAAUACUUCAAGAGUCAAUCCAUACCUAAUAUUAGGUCAAACCCUAUUUACACUGGACAAGCAGCGUAUAUAUCUGUAAUACAAAAUGCAUGUUCGGGAGCAUGGACCCGCCUAGCAUGCAUACCUUCUACAACAUCUAUGCCAUGUACAUUUGCAAAUGAUUGACUAAUAAACAAGUGCGAUGCACCCGUGUCAAAUGAAGCUCUACAUCUCAUUCUAUUUAACUGCACAAUACCUGUACGACGUCGUCGACCACGGCAAGUUUCUCCACUUAAGCUGCGAACACACGACCACUAGGUGCUAAUCGGGAUCCCUCAAACUGAUGUGGCAUCAUGGUGCGCCCAACCGAUGCGGCGACGGGCGAAACUCCCCAAACUGCAUAGAGGCUGACUGAACCGAAGCAGAUGACGGGACAGGUGAUGGUCCUCUCGGGCACUCACGACUCAUGUAUCCAGCCUGACCACACCUAUAACACCUCCGCUCAUACUGCCUACAUGUCUGUGGUCAAUGCUCUCCGCCACAAAUAACACACUACAAGGAUCCAUGGCUCCUCGACAUUGUCCACGGGUACCUAGGGGGCCUCUUAGAACUUGACUGCCUCCCCGACACCACUCAUUUUUUGCUUCCUUCCUUUUUUCUUUUCAAACGACUCACGCUCCUCUCAUGCAAUCGCAUUCCCUUGCUCUACCAUAGAGCCAAGUCCAAAAUCUCGACAAAAGUUUGAAGCUUGAAAGAGUGCACAACUCUGAAAAUCUCAGGACGAAGUCCUCGCUGAACCACGCCCAAGACACAGUUCACUAUGUACGAGAACUCCCGCUCAUACUCACUCACUGAGCAACUCCCUUGUUUCAACUCUCAAAAGUCCUCAUUCAGCUUCCUCUAUACACUACUAGGGAAGUACUUGGUGAACAACAACCCUCGAAACUCUUCCCAUGUGACUGGAGGAAGGUCUAGGGAUCGAUUCUUCUUCGCUCCCCUCUACCACACUCUAGCCGACAUUUCAUUGCCACGUGCACCUUGCCCUGCUCUAAAGUAUAUAUAUGUCCUCGAACAGGGUCUCCAUUGAAGCGAUCCACGCCUCCACAACCCAAGGAUCUACUACCUCCCAAUCAAAAGUAGAAUGGUUGAACCUCGUGAAGGUCGUGAGAUCUGCAUGUACUCGCUCCUUCUCAACCUUCACCGUCGCUAGAUCGGGGCCCGAAGAGCCAAAAUCCAUUGGAAGAGUGCUCGUCGGAAUGUGGGGCACCGUCACUGGCAUAGCUGUCACAUUCGCUCCCUCAGCAGCAUUGGGAACGUGUAUCGAAGGCGCAGGCGGUUCACAACUACCUUGUGCCGUCGUUGCCGCCUGUUGCGACACCAACUCCCGAAGCUUCCUAAUCUGCUUUUCCUAUCGCUGAGAGGCUUCGGCCUGCUACUGUAAGGCCUCGGCCUGCCUUUGCACCACCCCGAUUAGUGCAGUCACUUGAUCACGUAUGUCCUGGACUUCACGGACUCGGACAACUCAGGCACCUCAGAAGGCGAUGCCGGAGUAGAUCUCUCCGCAGGACUUUUCCUCAGCAGCAUUAACUCCUACAAUGCGACAAUCAGAUUAGCCACUUUGAUUCACAAAUUCCACGCAACUCAAUAACUUAACCAAACAAAACCAAAUUAGGUGAAAGUAUACAAGAGUACUUCUUCCCAUCCCUAAGUGUUAUGUUGUCGGCCACCAACAUAACCUACUCGAGUUGAGAAUAAAUAACACCUUGAGUCGGUCUCCAACUACCAUUAGAAACAUAUUAACCACUAGACCCAAUUAACUUAACUUUUGCCACUAAUCAUUGAUUGCCGUCACUCACGUACCUAGGUCCUUAUAGUCAUCAUCCUAAAGUUUCCUAGGUCCUUCCUAGAUUACUAUAUGCUCUGAUACCACUCUAAUCUGUCACGCCCCGAGACCGCCACUUUGGUCAGUUCAAGUACACACACAGAUCACCAAACGGAAAGAACUUUCCUUGUCCGCCCAAGGCUUAAACAACAUCAUAUACAUCAAGUUUUGCCUUGGAAAAACAACAACAUACAUGAAUUGCACGAGGGCAAUUAUACAAAAGCGAGAGAAUAAUUACUUAACUAUUACAACUAAAACAUUUAAGCUUCACAUACAUCAAUCCAAAAUACAUCAUUUCCAUACAUAUUACACACAUGCAUAUAUAAAGACAAACAUUUUUAUCUUCCAAAGUGAAGCCUCUACAAGAUCUCUCGUAAUAUAUAAAAACACCUCUCUAAUAUAUAGGGUGAUCUAAUACACGGGAGUCCACUAUCUAGGGCGCUAUGCCCUUAGCGCGAUCAUCGACCGCACUGCUCGUGCUAGGCUUUGCAAAACAAGGGGGUGAGAAUUAAAAGAAGUUUCCAGUUGGUUUGGCUACCGACCUCGCCGACUUUCCCACUAGGUCUAAUCAGGCACAAGUUGUAAGAAAGAAGAAACAAUAAUAUGCAACUGAUGCAACUACUAUGCCUCUACAAUAUGAAACUGGGUAAACAAUAAAUGCCACUAUGCUUAUGAUGCUUACCAAUUUGACCUUUCAACUCAAUCAUACCGGCUCACCCGAAGGUUGAGCCCACUCACAUACCGAGGCCCACGGGGAGAUAGUCGCUUAACCAAUUUAGGGCAAUCUGUGUUAGAAAUUAAUCGGCACAUCAGAAAAACGCAGCGGAAAAUAAUUUUGCACUUUUAAAAUUUUUUGAAAGCUAAAUACACAUCACAUAUGAAAACCGAAAACCAGUAAAUCAAACCGUUGCCAGCGGAUCAUUCUCAUGUUACUAUGCAAAAAAUUUAAUCUAAAUGAAAACUCUUUAUGUUUAGAGAUCUUACCGUGGACCAGUUAAGGUCUCAUGAUCUACUGUAUGAUUGAAACUGAAUAUGACGAACAGAGGUUCCAAUUAGCCAUGCACAUGCCCGGCCUCUACGCGUAUAUAUCCACAUGGAAUCGGCGCAUAUUCGAUCGAUGUUCAUCUCACGAACAGGAUGAGUCACAGACCAUCUGGAUGGCGCUAGAAAUUCUUUCAUGAUCCACCAGUCGAUAAAGAGUAGAGAAGUUGAUCGGAAAGAACCACGCGCGCGGAAGAGAGAUUGGAGAGAUCAAUCUCUAGAUGUAUAUAUAUACAUCAAAAGCCAUUAUACAUCUAAUUAAUUAAGGUGCUUGGCACCUUAAUUAGUAUACCAUCAAUCUGUACGGCACAUAGUGUCAGUACCUUUUUUUUUUUUUUAAUCUAACUUAUUGUAUACACCUCUGUACAUAUAUAUAUGUCUAUAUAUCUAUAUAUACAGAAUCUAGCUAAUUUCACUAAAAUCUUAUCUAAUAAGAUUUUGUCUCUCUCCAAUAAAAUUUAACGAUUAAAUAUGCAUUCUUAUCUAACUAACUCAAAUCUAGUAAAAAAGCUUAUCUCAUAAGAUAUUAUGAAUAUUUAAUUUAAUUAUUCUCUAAUCCAAUUAGAGAUAAAAUUAAUCUCUCCAAUAUNGCUAGGUGGUCCACCUCUCGAUUUAUGUUUUAUUUUGCGAGAGGUCGAGCGUUUUACCAGUGUACUAGAGACCACCAUUUUUGUAUAUUUGAGACUGAUAUUGUACUUCUUAUGACUCCUCUUACUGUCUAGCUUUACUUCUUUACCUUGGUGUAGAUGAUAAACUAUAUUUGCUCUGAUAUCAUUAGUUGCUAGUUAUUUUCAUUUCUUCUACUUGUUCUAUUACUUGCUUUUACUUCCGCUUUUAUUGUAGACGCCUUAUAUGUGUUGACAUAUGGCGGGUCUGGGCACGCUACCGGGAGGGCCUCCGCCGGUCCCGGGGCGUGACACAAACGAUUCGGGUGUACACAAUUCCUAAUGUGUGUGACCGCAUAGGUUUAUUACCAUUCGGCAGUGAAACUCAACAUCAAACUCUUAAAUAUUUAAUUAGAACUCUUCCAAUAGAUAAAUAAGAACAAUUCAAUUCGAAUCAUUAAUAUUCUCUCACCGUCCAUCAAUGACACCUAGCAGUAUAUUUCGACAAUUCACAAUGGUGAUGAAGAAUGAAUCUUUCCGCUUACAGUUAUUAUGUGAUUAAUUCCUUCCAACAUACAACAUCUUAAUCGAACUAAGGUCAUAGUUACUCGUCAAAUCUUAUCAUUCGACCAUAUGAUUAGAAUAUCUGAAAUCAACUCAAUAUAGUAACACAGUUAGAAACAAUUUUCAUAUACCCUGUACCAUGGCCAGGGAUUUUGGAAGUCAAGUGCGAUAGACUGUAUAGGACAUUCUCCCUCGUCAUUGAGAGUGUUGGACAGCCAAUCAGUACAGCCAAUCACAUGCCUCCUUAUUGCGCAUUCAUAUGCCUCCUCGCAUAAAUCACUACAGCCAAUUAGUACCGAAUAUAGGCCCAUAUCUAGAGUCUAAGUAUUAGUACUGCCAAACGAUAGCAACCUAUACGUGAAACAACUAUGAUGCCUCAGAUCCGAGGAGUACUUCACACAGCUGUAGCAAUGAACUUGUCAUUGGCGAGUAUAGAACUAUGUGACUGUUCAACUAAAUAGUCACACUCAGUAUACUUUUUCUCUAACAAGCAUCUGUAUGCUUGUUCUAGUAUCCCUACAGUACUAGUGACUUGAGAUUUGCCACCUCAAUUAGAAACAUAGCAUACACCGGCCUAUCCGGAAUAUCACCGUCCCUGUAAUAUUGCUCCGCCUAUGAGCAUUUAAGAGUCACGUACAGAAAAAUACAUAUCUCAAAUUUCUAACUCUUAGGAAUAUGUCUUUUCAAACAAAGACUCUAUGGACGAUUUAUGUCAAUAUUUCACUGCUAUACAAUAGACAUGAAUAGAAUAUCUGUUCUCAUAUUAUGAAUUACAAAUAAAUAAAACAUAAAUACCCUUAAGCUAGUGUCACCAGAUUGGUUUUUGGGCCUAUAACUAAUAAUCUGCUGGGAAGAUAAUCGCUCAAUCCAUACGUGACAACUCCGGAGCUCACCGCUUGUGGUGUCGCAACCACCAACAAGCCGAACAGACUAUGUGUGAGUACGAUCCAAUCCUCUCAUCACGAAUAUAUCCUACUAAUUAGGGCAACAACACCCGGCGAUCUACCAAUUCCUAGCAACUAACUCAACAAAGUGCUAUCAAACACAACUAGACAUGAGAUGCCACUAAGUUUACGUCACCAAUGCCUCACAAUGUUUUAUAAGUUCACAUUCGAGUUCUUUGCAUUUAUAGGGUUCUCAAUGUCCAACAAUCCAAUCCUCAUGCGUCCAAGUACCGAGUUCUCAAUACAAUUUGACCAUCCGUACUCUAGGAAACAUGAAAGAAAAUUGAAAGCUCAAACACCAUAUUAACCCUAAAUGCAUAGAAUUUCACAUAUAUACACAUAUGACCAAAAUGAGGACAUAAAUAUAGAAAGAAAUCCAACUAUUCCGGAUAGCACCACCGAUCUCGAUUCAAUACCAAUUGAAGAAAAAUCCGAGCAAUUUAGCUUUGGACACUGACUCAGCACUUUUCAGCGCUAACGAAUGAAAUCCCUCGUUUUCGACUCAAUUUUUCUCAAUCGACCGCCGAAAAGUCGCUACUCUUCGAAUCGAAGCUACUAGGCGUUUUUUUACAACCUUCAAUUAAUGAAUUGCUAGAUCAAUUUAGAUCAAAAUCCUACAAAUCCAAAAGAUCCUUUUGAAUUCCGAAAAUCCCAUUUUUUUCGUCAGUAAAAUAAACAACGGUGUUCACAUUCCUUUGUAUAGUUGGUCUUCCAACGUUGAUUAGCUGGUCUUUGCAGGAGUCAAGUCAACGUUGGAAGGACCAUUAAUUAAUUACGUCUUGUCUUGUUGAUGCAUAUAUCCAGUAGUGAGCACUGGUAAACGUCACAAACAUGAGCGCGCUCGUGCUGCUCCAAUCCCUGUCAUCGUCCGAAAAUAAGUGGAACCAAGAACCAAGCGCCACCACAACCAUAAUAAUGCUGCUCGCCUUUAACGUCCUUAUUGCCUUUUAUCCCUUUUCUUAUGUGCGCAGUGCGUACUACUAUUAUUACCUGGGUAAUAUUCUUAUCCUUCUGGUCCCUCCCAUUCUUUACAAGUCUGCCCACGAUAAGGACGACUUGCACGUUAGGAUUAAUAAAGUUGCAAUUAACCGUAAAUUAAGUUUACCAAAAAUUUUAAUUUUGUCAUUUAUUAUAAAAAUGUCUUUAAAAAAUCUGGUAGAAGCUGUGAGAUUAAAUUUUUUAAAAAAUAUCUUUUUCGGUAAAAUGAUUCAGAGUCGUGUUUUGUUGAAGGAUUCAAAAUCUAGCCCAAAUCUGUCCCCUGAGUUUCUUCGGUACUGUACUAGCUGAUGAUAAGACCAUUAUUAUUACUUGCAAGAAAUUUGGUCUUCAACUAAACUAAAAUUACGUAAAUUCGAAUGUCCUUACGCCCCUUAGAAUACAUGAUAUGUUGAAAUUUACCGACGCAAGCUGGAUUUCGAAAGUUAAAACCAAAAUCAACCUAGCUAACAGAGCCGAAAAGUUAAUCGGUUUAUUUUCAGUCUAUUUUGUUUGUUUGAAUAAAUUAAAUAUGUUCUCAGAGAUAGGUUUUCACAAUUAUUGAUUUAACUAGCUUUAGUUGAUUUAGUUUGUUACCUAGAAUUUUGGGAAUAAUCUGAAGUAUUAAGUGAUUGCUUAGAACUAAGGCCCGCUGGGAUGCACAGUUAUUAAAUUUCAUAAAUUUUAUAUCAUGUGGUUUUGGUCCAAAUAAAAUAAAAAUUUUUAUAACUCUAAAAAAUUUUACGGCUUCAUUUUUCUUAACUAUUUGGACAAUUCCACUAAAUAUCUUCCGUUAAAAUUAAAAAUUUAAAAUUAAAUUUUAGAUUUUAAAAUAAAAAAUUUCAAAAGUUGAAAUUUAAAAUUUUGAAUUUUAUAUAGUUUAAAUGAUUUAAAUCAUAUUCAACAGUAUCAAUCGUCGAUUUAGAAGCUAUAACAUUGAAAAUAAAUCAAUAAAUAAACCGAGCCGUUUACUACCUAUAGCAGCCCAGCAAAACUAUAUGUGAGUCAGGUUACUGUACUCUUAUGAGUACGAUCGCCUACUCAUAAGUCGUUUUCGAUGUUAGAGCUUCCGAAUUGACGAUCCAUAUUGUUAAACAUUAUUUAGAGUAUUUAAAAUUUUUAGAAAUCAAAUUUCGUAAUUUUUCAACAUCACUUAUCUUACGAUUAAAAAAUCUUAAAAUUAACAAAUUUUAACGGCCAAUAUGAAAUACUUGCUAAUUUAACAAUGUAAAAGAAUUGAAAUUAGUUGAUUUUUGAUAGAAAAUUAUAUUCACUAUGUAAAUAAUGAUCAAUAACUCCGAUUACAAAUUGAAGAAUCCGAUCAUCUAUUUUUAAGAGGUCACUCAAUUUUGAUCAUUCAUUUUAUCGCCGCUUGAUGGACUUUAAUAUAAUUUUGAAAAAUUACGAAAUUUAUUUUCUAGAAGUUUCAGAUUCUCUAUAUCAUAUUUGAUGGCAUAGAUGUAAGGAUAGAGAUUUUGACAGUGUAGCUAAACUCUCUGUUGACGAUAUUUUUGUGUGUAUUUUAAUUACAAAAACAAUCGUCAAGUUUCGGGACAAAACGAAUUAGAAUGGAGAUUUUACGCAAUAUUUACUUUUCACUUAAAGUGAAUAGUAACCUGGGUUUUUGGAGAGACCAAUAAGUAGAGUUGGUUUCCAGUGAGUAUCGGACUCCGUUCAUAAUGAUCCAAUAGCUUGUUUUCAACGAUUCGUCUAUCCCAAAUCCAAUAGCCUUGACAGAUUUCAAGUUUGACGCACGACUUUCGAGAAAAAGAGAGUUUAUUGGAUUUACACAUAUAUAUGUGUGGUUUUUGGAAAAAUUGAGAGGGGAUGGGUUUUGUCGCAAAUCGACGAUCAUAUCGGGCGAAAUAAAAUCGUGAGUUCGAUGCCUCGGUCGUGCUGAACGCGUUGGCGUAGUCCGUUCGCAUAUCUGACAGACAGAUCUACCGAAAAUUCAAAAUAUUAGCAAAGAGGUCAAAAGUGGCAAAACGAAAAAGUCGCAAACUCCUUAUAUUUUAUUCACCGUUUUGCGUGAUUUCGUUUAUCGAGGUGCAUAUGCGCGAAAUACAUUCGUUGUGAGGGACUUGGUUGGAAAUAAUCAUCUAUGGAGGACUAACACUACAACAGAAUUAGGUUAUAGGGACACAUGUUUGGGACACUUUUGAGUAAGUGUCCUAUUUAUGCUAAAACUUAAAAACACAUCUACUAAUGUCUAAAUAUAAAGCCCAAUCCAACCAAAAAUAAAAGAUUACUCUACUCAACCCACCACACCCAGUCCAUUUGGCCCGGUUACAAACAGAAAAGAAAAAAAAAAAAAAAAAAUCAAUUACCAUCUUUUCUUCUCUGUUUACUCAAUCCACUGAAAUUCUAGACGAAGAGCCUUUACUGUCGUCCUCCUCCGCCACCGUAGCCAACAAGAUAGAGUUUCGGCGGUUGCUAAAUGCUUAAAUAAGUGUUGGUAAAUUAGCAGCACUCUUUUAGGUUAUAGCGACACUCUUUAACUGUCACUAUAUACCUAGCGACCCCACAUAUAGCAACACUUUUUAAAAGUGUCGGUAAUUUUAGCUAGCAGCACUUUUUUGACAUGUACCUACAUUUAAAAGUGUCGCUAUAGACCGUUUUUGUUGUAGUGAAACUGGAAUUUGGCCAAUAUAUAAGUAUUGGGCAUCUAGGGUUUCAUGCAUGAAACCCUAACCCUAGCUGCCUUAGUUCCUCAGCUGCACCCCAGCCAUCACCAACACCCCUCUUUGACCUUGCUGCGCGCACCCCGGCCGCCGACGAGCUCCUUCGACCGCCGAAGAAGUGCUACAUUGCCUUUCUCCACCAUCUCCUCCACCAUCUCUACCGUGGACCACCCAGGAGUGAGCUACACCCUCGGGCCCCCUCCUCUGGCCGCAUCCUUGGCCUCCAGCUACUCCCCCGCUGGUCCCCGCCGUCCCUGCGCGCCGCUGUCGCUGCCUGGGCGCCCUGCGGCCGAGCUGAGGUUAGCUCGGGCCGAGCUAAGUUUAGCUCGCGGCCUGCAAGCCGCCGCCGCCUGGGACCUGCCACGCCAUCGUCCAUCAACAGCCGGCAACUCUGCCCGCCGGCCCCCGCCAGCCCUGCGUGCCGCCGCCGCAGCUUCUGGCAGCUUAAAGUCGCCCCAGACCAACUAGGGUCGAGCUGGGGUCAUCCUUGUCCCCGCGUGCCGCCGCCGCCUGGGGCCAGCCGCGCCGCCUCCCUCCGGCCUCCGGCGACCCAUCGCCGUCGUCCCGUAACUCCUCGACCGCCGCCGGUGGUGCCAUGGCCCCCUAUUGCCCGAUAAACUUCACUAUGUUGUUUCAUGUUGUCACGCCCCGAGACCCGCUACCAAUUUGGUCCGAUUCGGGCGCGUCGAACAGACGCCGAACGAACAAGACCUCCCCUAUCCGCCCAAGGCUAAACAAUGAGAUCAUGUACAACAAGUUCUCAGGAAAUCACUUGAAUACAUACACGAUCAUACAACAACAGCGAGAGCAUAACCAGUGCUAAACAACCAAAAGCAAGCGUCACAAGUAGAGUAUAUACAAGUGAAUAAAAGAGAGAUACUUAUCUAUUACAAACAUUCAACUUUAAUACAUCUGAUUACAUUUAACUUCCAAAACAUAUCAUAAGGUUUACAAUCUUCCCACAUAUCUCACACCUAUACAACAUCUACUCUUACGUACCUACAAGGUAGCUCUAAUGCACAUAGGAAGCAUCUACUAACCCUCUAGGGCGCUAAGCCCUUACCGCGAUCCUCGCCGGGGGUACUCGAGCUCGGUCCUGCAACAAAGUGGGGUGAGAACUACGAAUAGUUCCCAGUGGGUUCGGCCGCCGACUCCGCCGAUCUCCCCACUAGGUCUAAGCAGGCAUAGAUAGAUAAACAGAUAGAUAGAUAACUUAAAAGCGAUAACAAUAAGGAGAUAUGAAAGUAUUCUACCAUGCCUCAAUCCAUAAUCACGCAUGCAACAUAAGUAAAGGCUAACUACCAAGCUAUCAUGCUCAAUAAUGAUAUAAUUCAUUAGAUUACCCAAUCAAUCGGCUAACACGAAGGUUCGCCACCAUCUCACGUCUCAAAGUCUCAUAGGGGAGGAGAUUUUAAUCACUCGCUACCCCCGAGACCGCCUGUAGACAGCUAGCUACUGUCCGGGCAGCUCACGACUGCCCCUCUAGUAACCAAAACUCCGGAGUGCACAGCUUGUGUGGAGUGACCACUACAAGCGCAGACAGGCUAUGUGAGUCGAUCCAAUCCUCGUCAACUGAGGACACCCUACCAAUUAGGGUUAUCAUCAUUAUGGAAUCAAUGUGUUCCUAUACUCGACAUCCUAGUGUUUCAACUACACUAAAGUUCUCAUAUGCCACUCAUUCAUGUGUUCAACAUUGACUAGAUGCCACUCAUUCUCGUUACAUGUUUCCAAUACACUAGUUUACACUUUACUAGGUUUCCAUCCACAUAAGCACAUUCAUCAUUUAUCAUCUCAUUAUAGGGUUUCGCAUCACCAUGUCCCGAUCUCAUGCAUACUAGGUUCAAGUGCCAAGCCAAUAACACUAUACUACACUAGCAUGCAUGAAUAUGUAAUAACAACUAAGUACCCUAUAAUGCAUCAUGCUCAAUAUGCAAAUAUAGUGAACAACAAUAAACAUAGACAUUGGGAGCAGUUCAACUGCUUCGGGAUGGUCACCACCUAUCUAUUGGCGACGCUACAACUCAAGGAACGGAACUCGGCAAUCUUUUAGAACAUCGCUUCGGCUCUCCAAGUAGGAACGAAGGCUACAACCAUCCCUUUUGCCAAGAACUUCACACCAACUCGACGAAUCGUCAAACCGACUUCACCAAUGCGUUUAAAUACCUAACAAUUAGGUUUACAACCAAUCAAACGAGAUCAAAACUCUAGAUUUUCCAAAAUCCCAUUUUGGAGCCCUAGGUUUCAACAAAUGGAAAAUACUCCAUUCAAACCCUAUAUACAUGCAAUUAGGAUGCCACUAGCAUCAUAGGGUUUAACCAAAACCAAUUCUAGAGUAUUUAAACCUAACCCUAGAAAUCCACCAUUAGUAGGGUUUGGAGCCUACCUCUCAAGCUUGCUCCCAAACUAGAGGAAGAAGAUGAAGAAGAUUAUGCUCUCCUCCUUAACCUUCUUCUCCUUCUACUCCUUCUCCUUUCACCUUAAAGAGAGAAAGAGAGCUAGAGCUUAGAGAGAGAGAGGGAAGCUAUUAGGUUUUAGGUUGAGAGAAAUGAGAGGAGAAUGGCUCUCUACCCUCAUAUAGCUCUCACUUAUGCAACAAUUGUAUAAAAACCCCUCAACUUUGCAAGUAUGUGACAUUUUUGGGCAUUUCGGGCUACGGGGACCGAUCCCUCUAAGGGAGGACCGGUCCCCGAGAGCAAUUCUUCCCGGGUUGAGCUUCAGCUCAACCCUUGCACGCGUACGGGGACCGGUCCCUCUUAAGGAGGACCGGUCCCCGAGAGCAACUUGGGCAGGUUGAGCAUCAGCUCAAUCCCCACAUGCUUACGGGAACCGGUCCCCUCCCAGAGGGACCGUGUCGCGCCCCGGGACCGAUACCAAUUUGGGCCGGUCCGAGCACGUCGAAUAGACGCCGAACGGACAGAGUUUCCCCUAUCCGCCCAAGGCUCAUCACCUGUACAUUUUCAAGUAGAGAAAAGCACUAGCGAAAAUAUACAUAAACGGCUUACACGAGGGUAAGCAAUAGCCGUGAAUGAAAGAAAGGAAACUAAACAUCUACACAAGUACUAUGAUUCUCUUUUGAUUACAUACAUUGCAUUUAACCUCAUAUUCACGAUUCUUUACAUUGCUUGCAUCAUUUCUUUUACAUCACAUUUGCCCAAAAUAAACAUUACAUUCUUUUUCUCAUUUGCUUUAUACAUAAUCAUCUUAAAUCAUCGAAUACAAAAGAUGAUAAAAGGGUAAACUACUAACAAAAUGUAAAGCCCGACUCGAGUAGCCACUGUCUAGAGUGCGAUACCUUUACCGCGGUCGCUCGCCGGCUCGCUCGGUCCCGGCUUUGUGGAAUAGUGGGGUGAGAACUACAACAAAGUUUUCAGUGGGUUCGGCUCAAAUCUCACUGACUUUCCCACUAGGAUUAACUCAGGCAUAAUAGAAAGGAUAAGCAGAAUAGUAACCAAACUAUAAUCAUGAUGCUAAUAUGCCUGAACAAUAAAGCAAGAAAUAUGCUUAACAUAAAUCAUACAAGUAUGCAAGUUCUUUGUUCUUUGCUCUUUAUUCUUUAAUCCUUGUUCUUUGUUCUUUAAUCUCACGGCUAACCCGGGGGUUUCGCCACAUUAACUUGCCUACAUUAAGUCCAUCAUCGCAGGCCCUCAGCUUCCUCCCACUAAGACCGUCCUCGAGUUUACUCCAACCCGUGAUGCAAAACUCCGGAGCGCAUCACUCGAGGGGGAGCGACCGCCCUCGAGCACAGAACUCAUAGCAAGUAUGAUCGAUCCUUAACUCUAAAGAUAUAUAGUUCAAUCAUUGUCUUUACACUAACUCUAAUGUUCUUUACAUCACUUUAUUUUGCUAACUCUAGCAAUCAUUGUUCUUUAACUUUACUCGCUCUUUAUGCCACUUUCAUUUUGUUUCUUGUCUCUAAUCAUUAUCAUUGUUCUUUGCGUCACAUUUCUCUUUGAUGCCACGCACAUUGACUCUAGUGUCACUUUACUUUACAUUAUCGAAUGUCACUCGAUCUAUAUUUUAUUGUGUCACUCUGUUCUUUCAUCUCAUUGGGUGCUCACAUUAUAUCUCAUGCAUACAUAUAGGGUUGAAUAGGUUCUCAAACAUUUCAAAUAGCACGUGUACUCACAUCAUGCAACACUCACAUAUACAACAUCACAUCUACUCUAUAAUGCAUGCAACAAUAUAAACAUAUACUCAAUUGAAUGACACAUUAGGCAUAGAAGGAAUUCCAACAAGUUUGGAUAGCACCACCCACCUCGUAGGCGUACUAGGAUGCUACGGUGAUUUUCUUGAAAUUUUUAGCCUCUUAGUUUGCUACCUGCGGCAAAACGAAGCCCUAUUAGGCUAUUUUGCUUAUAUCUUUAUAUUGGUUUUUCGUAACGUUAAUCCAAGCGCACCAACGCGUCGGAAAUAUUCCCAAUUAGGUUUCUAGAGGGUCAAUUUCAUUUUAAAAGCUUUACAAGCAAAAACUCCAAAUUUGGGUGCCCUAGCUCAACCCAUAUCAAAACCUAGGGUUUGAUCUCAUUAGGAAGCAAAAGAAGCUUCAAUCUACUCUAGAGACUCCAUUAAAACCAUUCUUAGCUCAAUCCAAACCCUAGUUUGGAUUCUACCAUGAGAUGGAUGAAGCUCACCUCUAAGCUUCAUCACACACACCCAAACCAUGGUUUUGAUCUCUUAAGGAAGCAAAAGAUAGCUUCAAACACUCUAGAGACUCCAUUAAAACCAUUCCUAGGUUAAUCAAAUCCCUAAUUUGGGUUCUACCAUGAAUAGGGUUCAAGCUUACCUCUGAGCUUGCUCCUAUAUUGCUCCAAAGAGGAAGAAGAGGAGGUAGCUUCACUCCUUGGCUUCUUCACCUUCUACUCCUCCUUCUUCUUCUCUUCACUUUCUUUCCUUUCCUUUCUCUUUUCUUUCUUCUUCUCCUUCUUAUCUUCUAGAGAGAGAAAGAGAGGAGAGAGAGUGUGAGAGGGAGAGAAUGAGAGGAACAAAGCCCUCAUAGCCCUCUACAUAACCCAUAUAAUGCAUAAUUGCAAAUAAGCCCCUCAACUUUUAUUUUAUUAAACUGCCCAAACUGGGCAAAUUUCGUGUAUGGGGACCGGUCUCCCCAACCAGGGACCGGUUCCUGUAGCUCCUCCCUGCGGGCAGCCAGGGCUCCCGUGCAAUGCGAUCGGUCUCUCCUUGGGGGACCGGUCUCUCGGGGACCGGUCUCUCCAACAGGGACCGGUUCCCGAGAGCCUGAUCUCAGGGACUUAGCCAACUUUUUUCUUUU